UUCUCGAGCAACAACUUCUGUUAACUUUUUAUUAGCUUCCCGCGGAGGUCAUACAAAUAAGUAAUCGUUAGGAUAAAGGAGCUGCUGGAAGGCAUUUGAAGCGGUGUAAGUAUCAUCACGAACUGGUUUUCCGUCCGCUUCGGGAGUUAAGUUAAUACGGUAUUUGCAAGAUCUUGUUAUGCUUGAUUAACCUCGCUAGCGGAAACUCGCGCCCGCACAAAACGUGUGAAAUAAAAUUGUUCUCAGUGUAAAUAGUAACCCGUCGAUUUGAAGUCUGCAAACCAUUAGUUUCCACUUCGCCAGCAGCGCUUGGAUGUUUUUGUGUUUGGUUUAUAAAGUUACCUCCACUUCACUUUCCUCAACAGCCAUUUCGAGACGCUCGCUUGUACUAUGCAAAUGUCGGGAUAAAGGUUUCAUACCAAUUGCAUUUUUGUUUUUUCAAUUGUCUUGGAAUAACUUUCUGCUUCGCUGAGUUGAACAAGCCUGAUCGAUGUGGUUCUGAUAUCGCGUUGAUUGUGUGUGGAGGGAAAGAUAACACAAGGACGUGUCUCGAAUUUUUGGGGGUUUUUCUAAUCGAGAGUUGAGCUGAUAGGGAAACAAGUGAUACUCGCGAAACGAAGAGGCGACCAUUUACAGAUUGGGUUCUGUUAUCACGGAUUACACUAAAGAAUACCUGCGUUACAAAAACAUCGACUUGCGAAAUUAGCCAAUCAAUUGAAUAUAAUUGCAUCAACUCCAUAAGGUGCCACUGCACGAAGGUCUCUGGCAGUAAUAUUUUUAUCUUCAAGUGCACUUCCGUCCUCCUGAGGUUUCGUCGUUACAAUUUUGGUAUGGCUUUUGUAAAUAUUAUCGUUUCCUGAUCAUGUUUCCGGUAUCCAAAUUUAUUUGGGUGGUUACUUUAUUUGCUAACUCUUCUAUUCCUCUGAUAGCUCCGUGAAUUCUAUAUAAAACAAGUCUAGUUUAAAGAGAUUGUAAGUUCACGGGUCAAUUGCAAAAAUGCAUAACAAAAGUUUAUCCUUGGAUCUGUUCUUGCCUAUGCUUUUACGCACACAAGAGGUGCAGACGUGUUAAAGACAAACUGCAGCUAACAUCGAAACACAUCGCCCACCAACCUGUACUGGUCACAUGGAAGUAUAAUAUUUGACAUAAUUUACGGUAUUGACGAUAAAAAAGGUUCUGAGCUUGCACGCAAUCGAUUCUCGACGGUUAUUCAGGACUACAGAAUUGAUUUGGCCCUCCGCGGGCAUCUAUAUAUUGCCUGUGAAAACAAACAAAACAAAAAAUUCAUCUAUUUCCGACAAAAAAACAAGCAAGUUGGUAAAUAUCCCACCAGACCAAGCGUACAUAAUCGUGUGAAAGGUUGCAGACAUCUGUUUUCAACACGCUGGCGGUGAUACAAAGGGAAUCUUGAGUAACAACGAAAACUAAAUUAGCGACUGGUAGCCCAGAGUUCAAAGGGCACUUACCCGUAGGUAGGUAGAAAAAGACUUGUCUUGCAGAUUGAAAAACUAUCUGGAAUAAAAAAAAGAUUAGGCAAUUUCAA